GUCGGUAUCGAUUAGGGGUUAAAUCACUUCGUUGUGGCUACUUCAUAGUCCGAAGAGCCGUUGGUUCGAUUCCAGCUACCGACA
rnacentral:tRNA from 1 species